rnacentral:misc_RNA from 1 species
UUUUUUUGCAAGAGAAGAACGCUUCCUGCACGUUUUAGUAGUCUUACAACAACAUACAAACUGUUAUUUUAUUGGGAAUAAUAAUAAUAAUAUCUGAAGAAAAAAAAGUUGCAUCAACGGAAAUUUGCUAAAACAAUACUUCUGUUUGUUAACAAUGAAAUGGCCUCCAUUUCUGGAACCGUACCAAGUUACAAGAAUCCAAAUUUGGUUUAUAGACUCUAACUAGACUUUUUCCAGGGAUUCCCCCCAUAGUAGUAAGCAGUGCCAACCAUAAGAGCUACCGUAGCACCCUGGACCACCACCCUAGCUCUCAUUAAAAGCUGACCCAAUUGAGAAUUGCCUUGCCUGAAACUGAUUAAGCCAGCUGUAAGCACUCCAGCUGUCAUAAGCGCACCAACGGGUACCAGAGGGUUCCUGACCCGUUUCUUCUCCUUCUCCUCAAAAAAUUGUUCCAAGCUCGGUUCAGUCGUGCCCAUCUUCUACUUCAAAAGUUUUUAUUUCUUGAGAAAAAUGAAAAAUGGUAAGAGAGAAACAGAGACG